AUGAGAUGUGAGCAGCAAUAUGACAGAGCAUUCUAUGUUAUCAAGAGGUUCAUGGAAGAGCUUGAUGUAAUACAUUCAACAAACCAAGCGGAUGCUGGCGAAAGGAUGGAUGAAGAGGAUGCUGAAAUUGAAGAUGACCUUCAUUAUUAUGAAGCUAAAAUGCUCCAGACCGCUGCUCAAGCCAACCAAUGCAAGCAUGAUGUUGACCAAUUAAUGCAGCAACAGCAGCAGCAAAAAGAGAUAAUAAAAUUGCCGUUGUACUCUGAAACAAAUGGUAGGAAGAAACUUUUUGCAGCAAAGAAAAGAGACUAG
rnacentral:rRNA from 1 species